rnacentral:rRNA from 1 species
UACGUAGGUGGCAAGCGUUGUCCGGAAUUAUUGGGCGUAAAGCGCGCGCAGGCGGUCCUUUAAGUCUGAUGUGAAAGCCCACGGCUCAACCGUGGAGGGUCAUUGGAAACUGGAGGACUUGAGUACAGAAGAGGAAAGCGGAAGUCCACGUGUAGCGGUGAAAUGCGUAGAGAUGUGGAGGAACACCAGUGGCGAAGGCGGCUUUCUGGUCUGUAACUGACGCUGAGGCGCGAAAGCGUGGGGAGCAAACAGG